UCCCUAGUGGCUCAGACGGUAAAGUGUCUGCCUGCAAUGCAGGAGACCCAGAUUCGAUUCCUGGGUCAGGAA
rnacentral:tRNA from 1 species